rnacentral:rRNA from 1 species
AUUGAACGCUGGCGGCAGGCCUAACACAUGCAAGUCGAACGCGUGGCGGACGGGUGAGUAAUGUCUGGGUAACUGCCUGAUGUAGGGGGAUAACUACUGUACACGGUAGCUAAUACCGCAUACCAUCGGAUGUGCCCAGAUGGGAUUAGUUAGUAGGUGGGGUAAAGGCUCCCCUAGCCGACGAUCCCUAGCUGGUCUGCCAGGAUGACAAGGCAAACUGGAACGGAGACACGGUCCAGACUACGACGGGAGGCAGCAGUGGGGAAUGUGGAACAAGGGACGCAAGCCGGAUGCAGCCAUGCCGCGUGGAGGAAGAAGGGCGUCGGGUUGUAAAGUACUUUCAGCGGGGAGGCGUUACCCGCAGAAGAAGCACCGGCUAACUCCGUGCCAGCAGCCGCGGUAAUAC